UACUAGUUGGUUUAAAUAUUUUAAAAUAAUACUUAUAGGUUAUUUUGCUUCAAUACGCUUAAAGUUGUAAAUUCACAAACAUUAUAAAUUAUGUAUAGCUUUAAGAUUAGUCAAAAAAUUAUUUGAAUAAGUUAAUAAACGUGCUAAGUAUACAUAUUGGUACAGUAAUAUAGUCUUAAAAGUAUAUAACCUAAAUACUGGAAGGUCGCUUCUUGAGAAUUCAUGAUAAAAGAUCAGAAAUGCAACAGUGUAGAUUAAAUUCAAAGAAAAGAGUGACAUGCGUCAUUAAAUUUGCAAUCGUUUUCCUUUUAGAGAUGGAAAUAAAUUUAACAUAUCGUUGCGACCCGACUGUCCAUUUUUAGAAAGUUUAACCAAGAUCAUUGUUAUUAUUCAAUAUACAAUAACGUACAAUGAAAGUUUCAUUAAAAACACUUUUAACUAGUAUAGUGAAAAUAGCUGAAUCUAAUUAAAACUGCUUUUGUCGUUAUAAUCUUUUGUAAAUAUUUAGAUCUGGAUCUAAAGAAAAGUUUUUUAAACCAUACAAGAAACCGAGCCAGCACUUAAGAUCUGUUAGUGUAACUAGGACUGUGAGUGUGGGCUCUUAUAGAUAAGACCCAGACGACGGAAUACGUUUUGGUAAUAGUUAAGAAGCACAUUUCAGAUGUCAAGAAUAAUCGAAUAUCACACGUCGUAAUCACAAGUCUGAAGUUUGCAAACAUGCUGUGUAUGCUGGUGCCAACUAUAUUGUACGAUUUAAUAAAAUCCAAAUAGUUGCUAAUGAAACAAAUUAACUCCUCAUAACCGAGGAGACGGUUGGCAUUUCAAUUCGGACGCUUUUAAAGAUGAAAACGUGAAAUAAAAUGUCAGACUUCAAAAUAUUAUUAGUUCUUUCUGUGUGCAAAAAAAGUAAAUGUCAAUAAAUCAUUUCAUGGUAAAUUUGACUAUAGUUAGCACAAUAUUCAAAUGUCGACAACGCUUAAGCUUAACGCUGAUCACGAAAACAUUGAAAUAUUCGAAAUUUCGGAAAUAAAAUCAUAGUAAUAAACAAGAGAUUGAACAGCAAAAAUAUGUGUAUCAUCGUCAUCAUCAGCCCACACUGCUGGACAUAGGCUCAAUUUACACUAGUGAGCCGGAUCUCCGACUCUCAUCCGAUUCUUGACCUGACCAGAGUGGUUCCUGCGUUAUGUUCGCCAGUGGGUUGUCACCUCAAGAACCCUUCUACUUUAGCGUUCGUCGGUUCUACGAUGUAUACAUAGAAUCAUAUAAUAUUUUUUUGGAUUAUGUUUUUAAGUAUGGAAAAUGAGUGUGUUUCAAUAAAACAAAGUGUUUUAAUUUU